CGGUGUGAACUGCAUACCCACCUGCCUCUCGUCCAAGUCUCCUUACUGCGAGUCCGGAGAGGCUAACGAACAUGAGCUGAAGCCAGGUAUAUACCUUCUGCUGAGAAAGAAGCAGUGCUUCCCAUGGUCUGAGCCCUCACCAAUAGACCGGAGCCACGUUGCUAUGCUGACAUUACCCAGAAGGUUCCCAUGAAGGCCAGCUGGUUCGAGCCCUUUACCCCAGACGUGGCCAAAGGACCCUGGCUCACUUACCACCUGACUCUAUGUAUGUGGAAAGGAGUGUGUCGCCUGCUCCCAGAGGGGUCCUUUAGUUCCCUAGGCCCAUGUAUUGUAUUUCAGUAAAGAGAGACCUGAUCACCCAUCCCUGUGCUUCCAUCUUGUACUAAAAUUACACUCAGUGUGCCCCAGAGGUUAUCUAUGUGACCUGUAUGCACUGACAUUUUUAUUAUAUAGGGAUUUUAUACACCCUACUGUUCCCUCUAUUCUUCGUGUUCCCAGUUCUUGGUUUGGACCUUGAUUUUGCCCUUACUGAGGCCAGCUCUGGAACUUGUUGAACCUUAAACUUGUAAUAGUGAGUUCUCCAUUAAUAUAACAAAAUAUCUGAGAUAAUUGGGUCAGACACAAAAGAAAUGAAGAAGGGGCUGGGGUACUGCAAUCCCCUUCAAGGUCCCAGGGGCCUAAGGACCUCCCACUAGGCCUCAUCUCCUAUAGGUUCCACCGUCUCCUAAUGGAGCCCCCUGGUACCAAGCCUUUAAUACAUGGGCCUUUGAGAAACACAUUCAAACUAUAACAAGCUCCUUCAGGAAAAGACAAUAUUUGUUCUUCUUAGAUUCCCUUGAACCUAGCAGAGCACCUGACCUGUAUGUCACACAGAAUGUCAAGAAAAUGUUUGUUGAAUAAACUUAAAUUUUAAGUUCUGGACUCAAGCAGAUUUAAAGGAAAGUCUACAGUAUUCAAGUAUUCCUCCCAUAGCUCAUAGCUCACAUUACUGUGUUUUAAAUUAGACACGGAUUACUGUUUUUUUUUUUCCUGUUGUAAAGGCAAAUCUUACAUCAGAUUUUAAAAUUUUGAAAAAAUUCAAAAAGAAGAAGUGAAAAUAGCCAGAUAUGGUGGUAUACGCCUCCCCCGGCUCAGGAGGCUGAGGCAGGAGGAUCUGGAGUUCAAAGCCAGCCUCAGCAAUGGUGAGGUACUAAGCACCUCAGUGAGACCCCUGUCUCUAAAUAAAAAUAUAAACUAGGGCUGGGGAUGUGGCUCAGUGGUUGAGUGCCUCUGAGGUCAAUCCCUAGUCCCCACCCCACACCCCCCCAAAAAAAGAAGUAGCAAAAAUAAAAGUGGGAAGAGGAGGGGAAGAGAAAGAAAAAAAAUCCCACCUCUUAUAUACUACUAUUAUUAAUGAAUAUAUUCAAUUGCUAACUCACCCUUUCCACGUGGUUGUUAAAGAGAUACCUCACGUUCAACAUCUCCCAAACUGAAGUUCUGAUCUUUUCCCUUACACCUGCUCUGCUGCAUCCUCCCCAUCUCUGCUAAUGUCAAUUACAUACUUUUAUUGGUCAA
rnacentral:lncRNA from 1 species